rnacentral:rRNA from 1 species
GGGCCCGCACAAGCGGUGGAGCAUGUGGUUUAAUUCGAUGAUACGCGAGGAACCUUACCAGGGCUUAAAUGUAGUCUGACAGGGGUGGAAACACCUCCUCCUUCGGGCAGAUUACAAGGUGCUGCAUGGUUGUCGUCAGCUCGUGCCGUGAGGUGUCAGGUUAAGUCCUAUAACGAGCGCAACCCCCUGCCGUUAGUUGCCAGCAUGUAAUGAUGGGAACUCUAACAAGACUGCCGGUGCAAACCGUGAGGAAGGUGGGGAUGACGUCAAAUCAUCACGGCCCUUACGUCCUGGGCUACACACGUGCUACAAUGGCGCAUACAGAGGCAGCAACUUGCGAGAGUGAGCGAAUCCCCAAAAGUGCGUCGU